UCAACUGUUAGAGCGGCAAAUACAUUGCGUUAUUCUGCCGUCUGCCUCAGCCAGUCUGUAAAUAUGAGUCGGUCUGAGAUUUUUGCUAGAUAGCUUAGUUGCUGCUGAUACAGGCUAGAAUCUUGAAGUUGCUCUUUAGAGCCAUAAUGGGGCAUCCGAGAUUGGGAUCAGAGCUCUGAAGUCUUAGUCUGGCUUCUGGAAGUAUCUCUGUGGCAUGGGAGGAAGAGGAGGCUCAAGCCGGUGUUGCGUCUCCCAAGUUGUGCAAGCUGGCACAACCUUCCGCUAGACUGCUGAUCCAUUCGGCAUCUCCCUGUUGGGAUUCUAUUCCACCUUUUGCUGCAAACAUGGGAUUGUUGCGUGUCACAUGUCUGUUUACAUUCCAGCACAGAUUGCUGGCGUAAGCAGAACUUCUGCUCUGUAUAGCUUUUGUUUUUAGCUCUCUUUCCGAGAAGACGGCA